rnacentral:rRNA from 1 species
GUGCCAGCCGCCGCGGUAAUACGGAGGGUGCAAGCGUUAUCCGGAUUCAUUGGGUUUAAAGGGUGCGUAGGCGGAUUUUUAAGUCAGUGGUGAAAUACUGCAGCUCAACUGUAGAACUGCCAUUGAUACUGGAAAUCUUGAGUAUGAUUGAUGUGGGCGGAAUACGUCAUGUAGCGGUGUAAUGCAUAGAUAUGACGUAGAACACCGAUAGCGAAGGCAGCUCACAAAGCCAUAACUGACGCUGAGGCACGAAAGCGUAGGUAGCAAACAGGAUUAGAAACCCUAGUAGUCC